GUUCCUUACGUCGUAACUACAAUCCCCUUCCCUUUCAUGAAUGUGACCUACCGAAUUAGACUAUUUACCGGAUUUGUUAUCACAUAAGCAACACGACGGGUGCCACAUGUGGAGCAGGAUCUGCUUACCCUUCCGGAGCACCUGAGAUCACCCCUAGUUUUUGGUUGGGUUCGUGUUGUUUAUUCUUUAGUUUUCUAUGUUGUGUCAUGUGUACUAUUGUUUUUCUGUUUGUCUUUUUCAUUUUUAGCCAUGACGUUGUCAGUUUGUUUUAGAUUUAUGAGUUUGACUGUCCCUUUGGUAUCUUUCGUCCCUCUUUUAUG
rnacentral:lncRNA from 1 species